rnacentral:rRNA from 1 species
UGGGAACCUUCCUAGAGGGUACGGAACAACGCGAGGGAAACUUGCGCUAAUACCGUAUGUGCUCUUGCGAGGAAAGAUUUAAGUCGCCUUUAGACGGGCCCGCGGUCGGAUUAGCUAGUUGGUGGGGUAAUGGCCUACCAAGGCAACGAUCCGUAGCUGAUCUGAGAGGAUGGAUCAGCCACACUGGAACUGAGACACGGUCCAG